UGGGGGAUAACGCACCGAAAGGGUGCUGAUACCGCAUAAUCUCUACGGAGAAAAGCAGGGGAUCGCAAGACCUUGCGCUUUUGGAGCGGCCGAUGUCUGAUUAGCUAGUUGGUGAGGUAAAGGCUUACCAAGGCUUCGAUCAGUAGCUGGUCUGAGAGGACGACCAGCCACACUGGGACUGAGACACGGCCCAGACCCCUACGGGAGGCAGCAGUGGGGAAUUUUGGACAAUGGGGGAAACCCUGAUCCAGCCAUGCCGCGUGAGUGAAGAAGGCCUUCGGGUUGUAAAGCUCUUUCAGCCGGAACGAAACGGUCACGGUUAAUACCCGUGAUCACUGACGGUACCGGAAGAAGAAGCACCGGCUAACUACGUGCCAGCAGCCGCGGUAAUACGUAGGGUGCGAGCGUUAAUCGGAAUUACUGGCCGUAAAGCGUGCGCAGGCGGUUUUGUAAGUCAGAUGUGAAAUCCCCGGGCUCAACCUGGGAACUGCGUUUGAAACUACAAGGCUAGAGUGUAGCAGAGGGGGGGUGGAAUUCCACGUGUAGCAGUGAAAUGCGUARAGAUGUGGAGGAACACCRAUGGCGAAGGCAGCCCCCUGGGUUAACACUGACGCUCAGGCACGAAAGCGUGGGGAGCAAACAGGAUUAGAUACCCUGGUAGUCCACGCCCUAAACGAUGUCAACUAGUUGUCGGGUCUUAACGGGCUUGGUAACGCAGCUAACGCGUGAAGUUGACCGCCUGGGGAGUACGGUCGCAAGAUUAAAACUCAAAGGAAUUGACGGGGACCCGCACAAGCGGUGGAUWAUGUGGAUUAAUUCGAUGCAACGCGAAAAACCUUACCUACCCUUGACAUGUACCRAAGUCCGCURARAGGUGGAUGUGCCCRAAAGGGAACGGUAACACAGGUGCUGCAUGGCUGUCGUCAGCUCGUGUCGUGAGAUGUUGGGUUAAGUCCCGCAACGAGCGCAGCCCUUGUCAUUAAUUGCCAUCAUUCAGUUGGGCACUUUAAUGAGACUGCCGGUGACAAACCGGAGGAAGGUGGGGAUGACGUCAAGUCCUCAUGGCCCUUAUGGGUAGGGCUUCACACGUAAUACAAUCGCG
rnacentral:rRNA from 1 species